CUCCUAUAGAAAAUUAUUAUAGGUAAGCCCUGCCCUAUGUUUUUAUAAAUGGCCGCAGUACCCUGACUGUGCUAAGGUAGCAUAAUAAUUUGUCUUUUAAUUAAAGACUUGAAUGAAAGGGUAAACAAAUUAGAGACUGUUUCAUAAAAACAAAUAAAAACUUUACUUUUGGUGAAAAUACCAAAAUUUAUAUAAAGGACAAGAAGACCCUGUGGAGCUUUUAAUUUUAAUUUUAGUUGGGGCGACUAAGGAAACCAAAUAACUUCCUUUAUUUAAAAGACAAACAAGUCAUAAUCUUAACCUACAGGAAAUAGAAAAUAGCUACCCCAGGGUUAACAGGCUUAAAUUCUUUAAGAGUCCAUAUUGACAAGACUAUUUGGCACCUCGAUGUUGGCUUAGUAAAUCUCUUUAUCGCAACAGAUAAAAAAGAAGGUUUGUUCACCCUUUAAUAUACUACGUGAUCU
rnacentral:rRNA from 1 species